rnacentral:tRNA from 2 species
GCCCAUAUAGCUCAGUCGGUAGAGCGCUUCCUUGGUAAGGAAGAGGUCACCGGUUCAAAUCCGGUUAUGGGCUCCA